rnacentral:rRNA from 1 species
UACGUAGGUGGCAAGCGUUUGUCCGGAUUUAUUGGGUUUAAAGGGUGCGUAGGCGGCCUUGUAAGUCAGUGCUGAAAUAUCCCGGCUUAACCGGGAGGGUGGCAUUGAUACUGCAGGGCUUGAGUAAAGUUGAGGUUGGCGGAAUUGACGGUGUAGCGGUGAAAUGCUUAGAUAUCGUCAAGAACACCGAUAGUGAAGACAGCUAACUAAGCUUUAACUGACGCUGAGGCACGAAAAGUGUGGGGAUCAAACAGG